rnacentral:rRNA from 1 species
UACGUAGGGGCCUAGCGUUGUCCGGAUUUAUUGGGCGUAAAGAGCUCGUAGGCGGUGCGGUAAGUCACCUGUGAAAUCUCCUGGCUCAACUGGGAGCUUGCAGGCGAAACUGCCGUGCUGGAGUGUGGGAGAGGUGCGUGGAAUUCCUGGUGUAGCGGUGAAAUGCGUAGAUAUCAGGAGGAACACCUGUGGCGAAAGCGGCGCACUGGACCACAACUGACGCUGAGGCGCGAAAGCUAGGGGAGCAAACAGG